rnacentral:piRNA from 1 species
UGAACCAAUGGGUUUUAUUGGGCUUACUUA